UACGUAAGGAGCAAGCGUUGUCCGGAUUUACUGGGCGUAAAGGGAGCGUAGGCGGACUUUUAAGUGAGAUGUGAAAUACCCGGGCUCAACUUGGGUGCUGCAUUUCAAACUGGAAGUCUAGAGUGCAGGAGAGGAGAAUGGAAUUCCUAGUGUAGCGGUGAAAUGCGUAGAGAUUAGGAAGAACACCAGUGGCGAAGGCGAUUCUCUGGACUGUAACUGACGCUGAGGCUCGAAAGCGUGGGGAGCAAACAGGAUUAGAUACCCCCGUA
rnacentral:rRNA from 1 species